GACGAACGCUGGCGGCGUGCUUAACACAUGCAAGUCGAACGGUAAGGCCCUUCGGGGUACACGAGUGGCGAACGGGUGAGUAACACGUGGGUGAUCUGCCCUGCACUUCGGGAUAAGCCUGGGAAACUGGGUCUAAUACCGGAUAGGACUCCGGACUGCACUGUCUGGGGUGGAAAGCUUUUGCGGUGUGGGAUGGGCCCGCGGCCUAUCAGCUUGUUGGUGGGGUGAUGGCCUACCAAGGCGACGACGGGCAGCCGGCCUGAGAUGGGUGACCGGCCACACUGGGACUGAGAUACGGCCCAGACUCCUACGGGAGGCAGCAGUGGGGAAUAUUGCACAAUGGGCGCAAGCCUGAUGCAGCGACGCCGCGUGAGGGAUGACGGCCUUCGGGUUGUAAACCUCUUUCAGCAUCGACGAAGCGAAAGUGACGGUAGGUGCAGAAGAAGGACCGGCCAACUACGUGCCAGCCGCCGCAGUAA
rnacentral:rRNA from 1 species